rnacentral:rRNA from 1 species
CUUAAAAUUUAUUUAAGGUACUGCCUGCUCAAUGCUUAACGUAAAUAGCCGCAGUAUUUUGACUGUGGUAAGGUAGCAUAAUCAUUAGUCUUUUUAUUGAAGGCUGGUAUGAAUGGCUUGACUAGAAAGAGACUGUCUCUUUAAAAACAAUCGAAUUUCAUUUUUAAGUGAAAAAGCUUAAAUAAAUUUAAGGGACGAUCAGACCCUAUGGAGCUUAAUUUUAAGAUAAAAGUAGACUUAUUUUUAAAAGUUACUUAUUUUUAAAAAAUUUUGUUGGGGCGACAGAGAGAUGAAAAAACCACUCUUUUUAUUAAACUUACAUUAAAGGAAAGUUGAUCCCUAAAGAAGGAUUAAAAGACUAAGUUACCCUAGGGAUAACAGCGUAAUUUUUUUGGAGAGUUCAUAUCGAUAAAAAAGUUUGCGACCUCGAUGUUGGAUUAGGAAUUUAACUAGGUGCAGAAGUUUAGUUGUAGAGU